CUGACAUGGUCUCAGAGACGACAUUGCUGCGAGAUGCAAUAGGAUCAUUUGUUGCAUGGCCCUCGGAGCUCAUUACCAUUAGUGAUGAGACUGCUCCUAUAAAACCCGCAAUUAAGGGUAAAGGGAUUUUACAGGAGGAGGAGUCUGUUGCAUCACUAAAAGAGGCAUCCGCUCGGGAGUCACAACAAGUGACGCAGCAAGUUCGUAGCGUACCACCCACUGGUCCUCCGAAGAUAGCGGCAAAAAAAGGCGGUGCUUUUGUGCCUCGAUACCGGACGACGCU